AUGGAGACCGGGAAGGCGGCGGUGCCGCCCAGGGCGACCAGCGGGCGGAGGUACAAGGCGCUCACGCCGUGGCGCUUCCAGCGCGGCUUCGUCAGGUACCAGGCCAAGACCCCCGCCGCCGCCGCCGCCGCGCCCAGAGGCCGCGCCGGGGCGCCGGCGGGCGGUUCUGGCACCAAACGUCCCAGAUCGUCGUCGGUGGUGGGGAGCGGCGGCCGUAGCGCGGGAGAUCCGAUGGACGGCCAGUCGAAGAAGAGAAGCACGCGCAGUGCGACCAUGAAGAGGACCGAUGGGGAGAACAGCGCGCGCAGCGCAGGUGCUGGAAAGGAUAGCCAGUUGAGGAGAAGCACGCGCAGCGCGACCAUGAAGAACCCCGGUGCUGAAAUGGAUUGCCUGUUGAGAAGAGCCACACGCAGUGCGACUGCCAAGAGCUCCGAUGGGGUUAAAAUGGAGAACGGCGCCUGCAGCGGUGCCGGAAAGGAUUUCCCAUUGAAGAGACACACACGCAGUACGGCUGCGAACAGCUCCCAUGCUAUUAAAAUGGAGAACGACUCUUCUAGCAGUGCUGGAAAGGAUUUCCAAAUAAAGAGAGGCACACACAGAGUGACCACGAGGAGCUCCAAUGGGGAGAAAAUGGAUAACAAUGCUCGCACCGGUGCUGAAAUGGAUUGUGGUUUGGGCAAGUCCAGCUGCAAUAUUAUGGGUGAUGGGUUGGCCAACGCUGCUGGAGGAGAUUGCAGAGUGACCACGAGGAGCACCAAUGGGGAGAAAAUGGAUAACAAUGCUCGCACCGGUGCCGAAAUGGAUUGUGGUUUGGGCAAGUCCAGCUGCAAUAUUAUGGGUGAUGGGUUGGCCAACGCUGCUGGAGGAGAUUGCUGUUUUGAGGGGCCAGACUACAGCGGUGUCCUGAGAGAUGAACAUGUCCAGAAUUUUGGGACUGGCGGCAGCGUUGAUGCUGGUGAUGGGGCAGCUUGCAUCCCAGAGGGGAUUCAGAGUAAUGUAGGAGCUGAGAACUGUGAGUCUGAGGGUUCGGAGAAGUCCCGUGUGACCGGGAAUGUGUUAAAGAGCAACGUUUCUUCUGCUGCAGAUCAUGUGCUGGAGCAGCCGGAGGGAAAAGGUGCUAACACGGGAAAUGGGGCUUCCAAGGAGAGUGAUGUAGCAGCCAAAGGGUGCAGCUCUGCAGUUCCUGGAAGCAAUGCUAAUGGCCCAAAUUGCCGCAGAGGGCGGAAAGAAAUAGUGCCAUGGAGGUUCCAGAUCGGGUACAAGCGGUCAUUCUCGAAAGCUUUCUGCUCCAAUGGUGGAUCACUUGAAACUCCGGAAUACAGGGCUCAGGGCAGCUCAACACAGUGCACUCCAGGAACUAGAAGUACUGUGAGGUGCUAUGCAAGCCCCCUUUCAAAUGUUCGAGUUUCGGCCGUGCGUGAUUUCUCCUCAGGGAAAGGCGAGAAGGAAACCCGAACAGCAUAUAAAAAGGUGAAAACUGAGAAGGAUGAUGAUAAUCAGGGAAUGCCAAAAAAUGGAGUUGCCCUUGCUAGGGAGAAAGCAAUCAGAUCCUUGCGAGAUUUCCGCUUAAUUUACAAGAAUCUUUUGAAUAAGCUUGAAGACAGGUCACGGGAAGGAGGAGCCGAUCUACAAGCUUACAAAAUCUUCAGGGACAGGUUCCUUGCACAGUGUAAUGACGAGAGAUUUGUUGGCAAUGUGCCUGGAAUCAAUGUUGGUGAUAUCUUUUAUGCAAGGGUUGAGCUUUGCAUUAUCGGUCUUCAUCGCCCACACCGGUUAGGGAUUGAUCAUAUCAGGAAGGAGGAUGGUACUUGUAUAGCUGUUAGCAUCGUGGCAUAUGCACUUCUUUCUGAUGUCAAGGAUAAUUUUGAUGCCUUGGUGUAUUCUGGAUCAAGGACAGCUACAAUGAAUCAGAAGAUAGAGGGUACCAAUCUUGCACUGAAGAAGAGCAUGGAUACCAAAACACCAGUUCGUGUCAUUCAUGGUUUCACCAUUCAUGCUAAGAACAGCCAGCGGAAGAGUAUUCUUGUAUAUGGGGGUUUAUAUCUAGUUGAGAAAUACUGGAGGGAGAAAGAAAGCGAAGAUCGUUAUGUUUAUAUGUUCCGAAUGAGAAGAAUGGCAGGUCAGAAACACAUUGACAUUGACGCAAUUAUGAAAUCAGAACAGGCUGAGCCAUAUGAUGGUGUUAUAAUGAAAGAUAUAUCCCAAGGGUUGGAGAGGAUCCCAGUAUCUGUUUUGAACUCAAUAUCUGAUGAGCAUCCAAUGCCCUAUAUCUACAUGUCUCGCCUGAAAUACCCCCCUAACUAUCAGCCAGCUCCUCCAGCAGGCUGUGCUUGUGUAGGCGGGUGCUCAGACUCCAAACUGUGUGCCUGUGUAGUGAAGAAUGGUGGGGAGAUCCCUUUCAAUGAUAAAGGCUGUAUCAUAGCAGCAAAACCUCUUGUUUAUGAGUGUGGACCUUCUUGCAAGUGUCCUCCUACAUGUCAUAACAGAGUUGGCCAGAAAGGCAUCAAAUUUCGGCUGCAAGUGUUCAAGACCAAAUCGAUGGGUUGGGGCGUGAAAACUCUCGACUAUAUACCAUCUGGAAGCUUCGUCUGUGAAUACAUUGGGGAAGUGCUGGAUGAUGAAGAAGCACAGAAAAGGAUGACUGAUGAGUACCUAUUUGCUAUAGGGCAUAAUUAUUAUGAUGAAUCCCUUUGGGAGGGCCUAUCAAGAUCUAUACCCUCGCUUCAGAAUGGUCCGGGUAAAGAUGAAGAAGCUGGUUUUGCUGUUGAUGCAUCAAAGAUGGGGAACUUUGCAAAAUUUAUUAAUCAUAGCUGCACCCCCAACCUCUAUGCACAAAAUGUUCUCUAUGAUCAUGAUGACAAGAGUGCUCCUCAUAUCAUGUUCUUUGCCUGCGAAGAUAUUCCACCCGGUCAAGAGCUAGUAUACCACUACAACUAUGCCAUAGAUCAGGUUCAUGAUGAGAAUGGUAACAUCAAGAAGAAGAAAUGCCUUUGUGGCUCUGUGGAGUGUGAUGGCUGGUUGUAUUAG
rnacentral:rRNA from 1 species